rnacentral:lncRNA from 1 species
GCACAGGAGGAGGAGAGACCUCCAUCCCCGAUGACCAGGCCCGUCACGCUGGCCUCCAUGGAAGGGCUGACCGAUGGUGGGGGCCAACCACCCAGUAAUUCUGAGGGCACUGCUUUUGAUGACUAGAAGCUUGUUCGGCGUCUGAUGGAAGGGAUACUUAUUCCUUCGAAUGAAGGGAGGUUUAGGAGGCAAAGCUUUGUCAGCCUGCGGAAGUGCAUCAUGACCUCCCUCCAUGAGGUACUGUGAUGAUACUUUAGUUUUCUAAUUCUUCUCUC